rnacentral:tRNA from 1 species
GCCUCUAUAGCUCAAUGGUUAGAGCAUCAGUUUUGUAAACUGAGGGUUGGGGGUUCAAUUCCCCCUAGAGGCU